CAAUUUCUACUCACAGCAGCGAUAUCACGUGAAAAACAAAAGCAGCAUUAUUGAACUGGGGGAGUUUUCCAGCCAGAACAGGCUGCAAUAGGCUUUUGGCUACAAAAAUCAGGACCACUGAGAAGAAGUCUCAGAAACCUCUAGGUUAGGGGAAGCUGUUUUGGCCAACUUAAGACAAUGAGAGUGAUAAUCACUUCAUCCAAAUAUCCAUUUUCAAUUUGUAUCAUGCUAGAUGGAGAAUUGGUUUUUGCAAUAACAGUAGGCACAUUGAAAGGACUACGUUAAUCGGGCCUGAGAACCACAGCCUCUUCAGCCAGACAGACAUCAGCAGUAUCACUGGCACUCUCUCCUUCUGUUCUGUAUUAUUCCUGGGAAGCAGUGGAAAAGUGGGAAGGCAAAUAGAAAUCUCGUCUUGCAAGAGAGCAUCCAUCACCUCAUAUCCAGAGACCUGAUGACAUAUGGAGAGGCCAAAGGUGCUUUGUUGUUUCCAGAUGCAAAGAGGUCGAUCGCCAGCCCACCAAACUGAUUUA